rnacentral:rRNA from 1 species
GAUGAACGCUAGCUACAGGCUUAACACAUGCAAGUCGCGGGGCAGCAUGGGGGUUGCUUGCAAUCCCCGAUGGCGACCGGCGCACGGGUGAGUAACGCGUAUCCAACCUGCCCUUCACCACGGGAUAACCCGGCGAAAGUCGGACUAAUACCGUAUGUUGUCCAUUGACGGCAUCCGAUUUGGACGAAAGGCUUGGCGGUGAGGGAUGGGGAUGCGUCCGAUUAGCCAGACGGCGGGGUAACGGCCCACCGUGGCUACGAUCGGUAGGGGUUCUGAGAGGAAGGUCCCCCACACUGGAACUGAGACACGGUCCAGACUCCUACGGGAGGCAGCAGUGAGGAAUAUUGGUCAAUGGGCGUAAGCCUGAACCAGCCAAGUAGCGUGCAGGAUGACGGCCCUAUAGGUUGUAAACUGCUUGUAUGCGGGGAUAAAGUGGCCCACGUGUGGGCUUUUGCAGGUACCGCAUGAAUAAGGACCGGCUAAUUCCGUG